AUGACUUUAGUUGUGAAUUGCCGCAGGAAACAAAUUGAAUGUGUUAGUCAACCAUGGAUUCGCCUCGCCGGCACCCACCGCGAAUCGCCGCGCCCCUAGAUCCCAAAAUCCUCACCGCCGAUCUGCCCCUCCCACCACAGAAAUCGAUUUGCCACUUCCCUUCCCCCAUAUGGACUUUCUUUGUUUCUUAGUCUUUGCCUGUUUCUGGAUCCAAUCGUCGAAAAUCGAUUCCAGCUUCCAAUGAAUCCAUCUGCCCCGACUUCCAAUGGUGAUAAGUAUGUAAAUGGAGUGAUAAUUCCCUGCCAGUACCCAACUUAUCAACUAAAGCAGGCUUGAAGUUUGAAAUUUAAGAGCAAUGCUUAUGUAAGGAAGAGAGAUGGCCUUCCUGUUGAAUCUGCUUGCUAAUGAACUCUGACGAGGUUGCAAAUUGCUAUACGCGGAUGUUGUUUCCCGUUGUUCUAAGUUGCAAAUUGCUAUGCGGGGAUGUUGUUCUGGGAUUUAUAGCUUGGAUUGGAGCUUAGUUUUCAUAAGAUGAGAGCUUUGUUUAAAUUAUGAAUGUAAGGUUGAAUAAACUUAUUGUGUUGUCAGUUAUGUUUGAAUGUAAUGUUGGAUUAAUAAUAUUUGAAUGUGAUGUUGGAUGAACAAUGUUUGAGUUAAUGUAAGACUUUUAGUAUUAAUGUAUGUAUUUUUAGUUUUC